rnacentral:rRNA from 1 species
AGUGAACGCUGGCGGCAGGCCUAACACAUGCAAGUCGAACGGCAGCACAGUAACUGCUUGCGCUUACGGGUGGCGAGUGGGGGACGUGUGAGGAAUACAUCGGAAUCUACUUUUUGGUGGGGGAUAACGUAGGGAAACUUACGCUAAUACCGCAUACGACCUACGGGGGAAAGCAGGGGAUCUUUGCACCUUGCGCGAUUGAAUGAGCCGAUGUCGGAUUAGCUAGUUGGCGGGGUAAAGGCCCACCAAGGCUACGAUCCGUAGCUGGUCUGAGAGGAUGAUCAGCUACCCUGGAAGUGAGACAGGGUCCAGACUCCUACGGGAAGGCGCAGUCGAGAAUAUUGGCGAACGGGUGCGAGCCUGAUCCAGGCAUACCGCGUACGUGAAGAAAAAGUUCGGGUUGGUAAGACCUUUUGUUGGGAACGAAAAGCAGCAGGUUUAUACGCCGCUAUAGUGACGGUACCCAGAGAAUAAGCACCGGCUAACUUCGUG